GAUGAAGAACGUAGUGAAAUGCGAUAAUUAAUGUGAAUUGCAGAAUUCAGUGAAUCAUCGAAUCUUUGAACGCACAUUGCGCCCCCUGGUAUUCCGGGGGGCAUGCCUGUUCGAGCGUCAUUACAACCCUCAAGCUCUGCUUGGUAUUGGGCCCCGCCAGUUCUGGCGGGCCCUAAAGUCAGUGGCGGUGCCUUCCGGCUCCGAGCGUAGUAAUUCUUCUCGCUCUGGAGACCCGGUUGUGUGCUUGCCAACAACCCCCAAUUUUUUAAGGUUGACCUCGGAUCAGGUAGGGAUACCCGCUGAACUUAAGCAUAUCAAUAAGCGGAGGA
rnacentral:misc_RNA from 1 species